UCUGUCAGCCACAUCACUCUGAACUUGCCUGAUCUUAUCUGAUCUCAGAAGCUAGGCAGGGUUAGGCCUGGUUAUUACUUGGAUGGGAGAAAUUACUAAUUCUAGUGCUGGGGCAGGA
rnacentral:rRNA from 1 species